rnacentral:rRNA from 1 species
CUACGGGGUGCUCCAGCUAGGAAUAAUCUACAAUGCACGAAAGUGUGAUAGUUUGAGUCAGAGUGCUUUUCAAAUUGAAAGGCUUUUAUGAAAUGUAAAAAGUUUCACGAAUAAGGACUGGGUAAGACUAGUGCCAGCCGCCGCGGUAAUACUAGCGGUCCAAGUCGCACCAUUUUUAUUGGGUCUAAAACAUCCGUAGCUUGCUUGAUAAGUUCCUUGUGAAAUCCUAUAUCUUAAGUAUGGGGCGCGCAAGAAAUACUGUUAAGCUAGAGACUGGGAGACGUAAGAAGUACGUUGGAAGUAACAGUAAAAUGUGUUAAUCUUUAACGGACUCACAAUAGCGAAGGCAUCUUACGAGAACAGUUCUGACAGUGAGGGAUGAAGGCUAGGGGCGCAAAACGGAUUAGAUACCCCGGUAGUC